rnacentral:rRNA from 1 species
GACGAACGCUGGCGGCGUGCUUAACACAUGCAAGUCGAACGGAAAGGCCCUGCUUUUGUGGGGUGCUCGAGUGGCGAACGGGUGAGUAACACGUGAGUAACCUGCCCUUGACUUUGGGAUAACUUCAGGAAACUGGGGCUAAUACCGGAUAGGAGCUCCUGCUGCAUGGUGGGGGUUGGAAAGUUUCGGCGGUUGGGGAUGGACUCGCGGCUUAUCAGCUUGUUGGUGGGGUAGUGGCUUACCAAGGCUUUGACGGGUAGCCGGCCUGAGAGGGUGACCGGCAAAAGGGGGACGAGGGUAGGCCCAAGACCCCGGGGGGGGGCAGAGGGGGGGAUGUUGGCAAAGGGGGCGGAAUCAGAAUGCAACACCGCCGGGGGGUGGAUGACGGCCUUGGGGUGAUAACCCGCUUUCGCCUGUGACGAAGGGGGAGUGAGGGUAGGGGGUAAAGGGCCCCGGAAAAGCUAGGAG